CUACCCAACCUUGUCUCGAACAAGGUACCUCUCGACUGACCAGUCACCUUAACCUGUGCAUGAAGUGCGAAAAGGGUCCCUGGGAGUCAGUCGAGCGUCUUAACCAAUUAGGCCAUGGACGA